rnacentral:tRNA from 2 species
GGGGUUGUAACUCAGUGGUAGAAUGCUCACCUAGCAUGUGUGAGGUGCUGGGUUCGAUCCUCAGCACCCACA